UACAGAGGGUGCGAGCGUUGUCCGGAAUCACUGGGCGUAAAGGGCGCGUAGGUGGCCUGGUAAGUAGGGGGUGAAAUCUCGGGGCUUAACCCCGAAACUGCACUUGAUACUGCGGUGCUCGAGUACUGGAGAGGAGACUGGAAUUUACGGUGUAGCAGUGAAAUGCGUAGAGAUCGUAAGGAACACCGGUGGCGAAGGCGCUCAUCUGGCCCAAUACUGACGCUAAAGCGCGAAAGCUAGGGGAGCAAACGGG
rnacentral:rRNA from 1 species